GAAAUGCGAUAAGUAAUGUGAAUUGCAGAAUUCAGUGAAUCAUCGAAUCUUUGAACGCACAUUGCGCCCUCUGGUAUUCCGGAGGGCAUGCCUGUUCGAGCGUCAUUUCAACCCUCAAGCCUGGCUUGGUGUUGGGGCACUGCCUGUAAAAGGGCAGGCCCUGAAAUUCAUUGGCGAGCUCGCCAGGACCCCGAGCGCAGUAGUUAAACCCUCGCUUUGGAAGGCCCUGGCGGUGCCCUGCCGUUAAACCCCCAACUUCUGAAAAUUUGACCUCGGAUCAGGUAGGAAUACCCGCUGAACUUAA
rnacentral:misc_RNA from 1 species